rnacentral:lncRNA from 1 species
UUCAUUAUUAAAGAUUUGAGAUGUUAAGUAUUUAUAGACAAGCCUGGCAAAAAUAGUAAAGCUUUAUAAAGCCAUGGGUUGUAACUGAUGGCAAUUCUGUUACCAUUCAGAUGUGCCACUCUGUGACUGUUGUUGUGAUCACUUACCAUUUCUGCUGGCUACUCAGCAUCCAGAGCAUCUCAAUAUGUCCUGGACAGUGGUCAGCCCCAUUGUGUUCACCUACAGAGUGAUCCAAUGCCACAACCUGCUGGAUGAUGGGAACGACCCACUGCUGUGUGGUCGUAUGGAGGACCAGGAGGAGCUCAAGGCCAUCAGAAGCAACACCAAGCGCAUCAACGGCUUCAUUGUCAUUGAUGAGACAGUCAAUCAGCUCUAUGGCUCCCAGGUCACCAGGUACUUUGAUGCCAGAAAGGAGAACAGGUCCAUUAAAUGUUCUCUAUAGGAUCCUCCUACUGCCCACUACAGAGGAGAACAGGUCCAUUAAAUGUUCUCUAUAGGAUCCUCCCACUGCCCACUAAUCAAACCAAAUCAAAUGUAUUUAUAUAGCCCUUCUUACAUCAGCUGAUAUCUCAAAGUGCUGUACAGAAACCCAGCCUAAAACCCCAAACAGCAAGCAAUGCUGGUGUAGAAGCACGGUGGCUAGGAAAAACUCCCUAGAAAGGCCAAAACCUAGGAAGAAACCUGGAGAGGAACCAGGCUAUGAGGGGUGGCCAGUCCUCUUCUGGCUGUGCCGGGUGGAGAUUAUAACAGCACAUGGCCUAGAUGUUCAAAUGUUCAUAAAUGACCAGCAUGGUCAAAUAAUAAUAAUCAUAGUAGUUGUCGAGGGUGCAACAAGUCAGUAACACAAGAGUAAGUGUCAGUUGGCUUUUUCAUAGCCGAUCUUUGAGAGUAUCUCUACCGCUCCUGCUGUCUCUAGAGAGUUGAAAACAGCGGGUCUGGGACAGGUAGCACGUCCGGUGAAUAGGUCAGGGUUCCAGCAGGUCUGGGACAGCAGGUCUGGGACAGGUAGCACGUCCAGUGAACAGGUCAGGGUUCCAUAGCUGCAGGCAGAACAGUUGGAACUGGAGCAGCAGCACGGCCAGGUGAACUGGGGACAGCAAGGAGUCAUCAAGCCAGGUAGUCCUGAGGCAUGGUCCUAGGGCUCAGGUCCUCCGAGAGAGAGAGAGAAAGAGAGAAUUAGAGAGAGCAUAUUUAAAUUCACACAGGACACCGGAAAAGACAAGAGAAAUACUCCAGAUGUGACAGACUGACCCUAGCCCCCCGACACAUAAACUACUGCAGCAUAAAUACUGGAGGCUGAGACAGGAGGGGUCAGGAGACACUAUGGCCCCAUCCGAUGAAACCCCCGGACAGGGCCAAACAGGUAGGAUAUAACCCCACCCACUUUGCCAAAGCACAGCCUCCACACCACUGGAGGGAUAUCUCCAACCACCAACAUACCAUCCCGGGACAAGGCCGAGUAUAGCCCACAAAGAUCUCCGCCACGGCACAGCCCAAGGGGGGCGCCAAUCCAGACAGGAAGACCACGUCAGUGACUCAACCCACUCAAGUGACGCACCCCUCCCAGGGACGGCAUGGAAGAACACCAGUAAGCCAGUGACUCAGCCCCCGUAAUAGGGGUAGAGGCAGAGAAUCCCAGUGGAAAGAGGGGAAACCGGCCAGGCAGAGACAGCAAAGGCGGUUCGUUGCUCCAGCCUUUCCGUUCACCUUCACACCCCUGGGCCAGACUACAGAGGAGAACAGGUCCAUUAAAUAUUCUCUAUAGGAUCCUCCCACUGCCCACUACAGAGGACAACAAGUCCAUGGAGCACAUGACCAGGAUUCUGGAGGAGGUCCACAAGUUUGGCAUAGACAGGCGCUCUGAGCCCCUCAUUGCUAUUGGAGCAGGGGUGUGUCUGGAUGUGGUGGGCCUAGCUGUUUCUUUCUACCGGAGACUAACCCCUUAUAUCCGUGUCCCGACCACCCUGCUCUUCUACAUUGAUGCCAGUGUGGGGGCUAAAACUGGAGUCAACUUUGUCAAUGGAAAGAACAAGCUGGGGAGUUACACCCCCCCGGUCGCAACGUUUUUAGACUGGACUGUUCCUCGCCGGCAGGUUUCUAUUGGGAUGGCGGGAUGGCAGAAAUGUUAAAGGUACUCAUCACAAUAUGUAUGUGGGUUGAAUAUGUGUCAGCAUUACAAACUGAGCAUAUCAUCUUUCUAAAAUGACUGAACACUGUUCUGUGCAUUUCGAGACCUAUCUGGACAACGGGACAAGCGUCCCUUAACAGCAAGAUAUGGUUGUAUUUGUCUGCUCUCUAUUACAUGUCUAUUACACUCUUUACUAAUCACCAUUACUAAUGAACAAACACUUUUUACAAGCCUAAACCACCCCAUUGAUAGUGUCUUACUUACAUUGUGUUUCCAAACUCUGUAUGGAGCUAAUAAAUCAGCUAUGGCCAUCAUCCUUUGUGUUCUAGAUGGCCCUGAUGAUACACAGGGGCCUGUUUGAACUUCUGGAGACUGAAGGUGGGGACCUGCUGGACUCCAGCUUCCAGUCCUGUGACCAGAAGACCAGUGGCUGCUGUGACCUGGAGGAUGCUGCCACUACAUCCCCACGGAUUGCCAUAGAAACCAUGCUAGAUGAGUUGACUCUGGACAGACUGGUGGACUUUGGCCACCUAGUCAGCCCUGAGCUAAGAAUGGUAAAACGUUUAUCACUGAGUUAAUAUGGAAGGGAUAUGAAAGGAUGGAGAAAACGGCAUCAGGGAAGGUGUGAAUGCUCAGAUAUAUUUUUGACAAGUGAAGAGACAAUUUGGCAAAUAUGCAUGCAGUAUAACUUGACCUUCUUUGCAGAAAGUGCUGACUGUGCUGCUCCACGGGGAGGCGUGAACAUCGACAUGUCCUUCAUGGUGUACGUGGCCCACCAGAAAGGGCUCCAGACAGAAGAGGAGAAGGCCCGGAUCAGCCACUGCAUGAUGGAGCUGGAGCUGCCUGUGUGGCACCAGGACUGCACUCUGGUUCUGGUGCAGAAGUCUCUGAGUGAACGUCUGAAACACUCUGCAGGGUCCCUGAGGAUGCCUCUUCACACAGGACUGUGCUGUGCAGGUCUGGACAUCUUUCCUUU